rfam:Spirochaetaceae bacterium 4572_7 ex4572_7_scaffold_12010, whole genome shotgun sequence.
GAGCCGGAUGUGGGAAAUCUACAAGUCCGGUUCUGUGAGGGGCAUUGAAUCUCCUUACUUAAAUUAAGAGAAAAAGGAGACAUAUUAUGUCUACUCUAC